GGAGAACGUGCCCUUAAGUGGAGGGUAAUCUCGGGAAAUUGAGGAUAAUACUCCAUAGAUCAUGGGAUCUGGAAUGACCCAUGGUUGAAAGUUCCGGCGCUUAAGGAUCGCUCUGCGGCUUAUCAGGUUGUAGUGGGUGUAACGUACCCCCUAGCCAGUGACGAGUAUGGGCCUUGAGAGAGGGAGCCCAGAGUUGGAUUCUGAGACACGAAUCCAGGCCCUACGGGGCGCAGCAGUCGCGAAAACUUCACACUGGGGGCAACCCCGAUGAGGGAAUUCCUAGUGCUAGGACAUUUGUUCUAGCUUUUCUCUAGCGUAGAUAACUAGAGGAAUAAGGGCUGGGUAAGACGGGUGCCAGCCGCCGCGGUAAUACCUGCAGCCCAAGUGGUGGUCGAUUUUAUUGAGUCUAAAGCGUUCGUAGCCGGUUUGAUAAAUCCUUGGGUAAAUCGGGAAGCUUAACUUUCCGACUUCCGAGGAGACUGUCAAACUUGGGACCGGGAGAGGCUAGAGGUACUUCUGGGGUAGGGGUAAAAUCCUGUAAUCCUAGAAGGACCACCGGUGGCGAAGGCGUCUAGCUAGAACGGAUCCGACGGUGAGGGACGAAGCCCUGGGUCGCAAACGGGAUUAGAUACCCCGGUAGUCCAGGGUGUAAACGCUGCCGACUUGGUGUUGGAGGCCCUUCGGGGGCAUUCAGUGCCGGAGAGAAGUUGUUAAGUCGGCCACUUGGGGAGUACGUCCGCAAGGAUGAAACUUAA
rnacentral:rRNA from 1 species